UGCAGAAGCCACAGCACAGCCAA
rnacentral:piRNA from 1 species